UCAGGACGAACGCUGGCGGCGUGCCUAAUACAUGCAAGUCGAACGGUCUUUCUAUGGAAGCUUGCUCCACUGAAAAGAUAGUGGCGAACGGGUGAGUAACACGUGGGUAACCUGCCCAUAAGAGGGGGAUAACAUCCGGAAACGGGUGCUAAUACCGCAUAGUUUUCUUGAUCGCAUGAUCGGGAAAGGAAAGACGGCCUUUGUGCUGUCGCUUAUGGAUGGACCCGCGGCGUAUUAGUUAGUUGGUGAGGUAACGGCUCACCAAGACGAUGAUACGUAGCCGACCUGAGAGGGUGAUCGGCCACAUUGGGACUGAGACACGGCCCAAACUCCUACGGGAGGCAGCAGUAGGGAAUCUUCCGCAAUGGACGAAAGUCUGACGGAGCAACGCCGCGUGAGUGAAAGAAGGUUUUCGGAUCGUAAAACUCUGUUGUCAGAGAAGAACAAGUUGGAGAGUAACUGCUCCAGCCUUGACGGUAUCUGACCAGAAAGCCACGGCUAACUACGUGCCAGCCGCCGC
rnacentral:rRNA from 1 species